rnacentral:rRNA from 1 species
CAGCCGCCGCGGGAAUACGUAGGUGGCAAGCGUUGUCCGGAAUUAUUGGGCGUAAAGGGUUCGCAGGCGGUUUCUUAAGUCUGAUGUGAAAGCCCCCGGCUCAACCGGGGAGGGUCAUUGGAAACUGGGAAACUUGAGUGCAGAAGAGGAGAGUGGAAUUCCACGUGUAGCGGUGAAAUGCGUAGAGAUGUGGAGGAACACCAGUGGCGAAGGCGACUCUCUGGUCUGUAACUGACGCUGAGGAGCGAAAGCGUGGGGAGCGAACAGGAUUAGAUACCCGCGUAGUCCCUGUCUCUUAUAC